rnacentral:rRNA from 1 species
GAUUCUGGCUCAGGAUGAACGCUAGCUACAGGCUUAACACAUGCAAGUCGAGGGGCAGCAUUGGGGUAGCAAUACUCAGAUGGCGACCGGCGCACGGGUGAGUAACACGUAUCCAACCUGCCGCUUACUCGGGGAUAGCCUUUCGAAAGAAAGAUUAAUACCCGAUGGUAUAAAGAGUUCGCAUGUUCUCUUUAUUAAGAAUUUCGGUAAGCGAUGGGGAUGCGUUCCAUUAGAUAGUUGGCGGGGUAACGGCCCACCAAGUCUACGAUGGAUAGGGGUUCUGAGAGGAAGGUCCCCCACAUUGGAACUGAGACACGGUCCAAACUCCUACGGGAGGCAGCAGUGAGGAAUAUUGGUCAAUGGACGAGAGUCUGAACCAGCCAAGUAGCGUGAAGGAUGACUGCCCUAUGGGUUGUAAACUUCUUUUAUAAGGGAAUAAAGUGAGGGACGUGUCCCUUUUUGUAUGUACCUUAUGAAUAAGGAUCGGCUAACUCCGUGCCAGCAGCUGC